CCCGCUGAACUUAAGCAUAUCAAUAAGCGGAGGAAAAGAAACUAACAAGGAUUCCCUUAGUAACUGCGAGUGAAGAGGGAAAAGCUCAAAUUUAAAAUCUGGCAGUGUUUCGCUGUCCGAGUUGUAACCUAGAGAAGUGUAACCUGUGCUGGACCGUGUACAAGUCUCCUGGAAUGGAGCAUCACAGAGGGUGAGAACCCCGUCUUUGACAUGGACUGCCAGUGCAUUGUGGUUGUGCUCUCAACGAGUCGAGUUGUUUGGGAAUGCAGCUCUAAAUGGGUGGUAAAUUCCAUCUAAAGCUAAAUAUUGGCGAGAGACCGAUAGCGAACAAGUACCGUGAGGGAAAGAUGAAAAGAACUUUGGAAAGAGAGUUAAACAGUAUGUGAAAUUGUUGAAAGGGAAACGUUUGAAGUCAGUCAUGUUGGCUGGGGAUCAGCCUGACAUUUAUGUUGGGUGUACUUCCUGGUUGACGGGCCAACAUCAGUUUUGACUGCCAGAAAAAGGCCAAGGGAAUGUGGCACCUUUGGGUGUGUUAUAGCUCUUGGUCGUAUGUGGUGGUUGGGACUGAGGAAAGCAGUGCGCUGAAAGGCAGGGUUUCGACCACAUUCGCACUGAGGAUGUUGGCAUAAUGGCUUUAAGCGACCCGUCUUGAAACAC
rnacentral:rRNA from 1 species